UAAGAAGGUGAUUUAUAGCCAGCCUAGUGCC
rnacentral:piRNA from 1 species